UCCUAUAUGCAUGAGAGAAAGAAAAUAAAGAACAUCAGGGCUGUCUGCAUUUUAAAUGUAUGUUUUAAAAUAGUAGCUAUUAUAACUAAAUGGUUGCAAAUAGAAUCAAAGCUCAAGGUUUAUGAAUUGAUGUUAACAUCAACGUUAUAUCCCAUAAUAUAAAAUUCAGUAGGUAUUCAAUUACAAAACAUGGAAAUGUAACAAUAAGUUAGUUAGUGGUUAAGAGAAAAAAUUACUUGCACUGCAGUUUUGAGCACUAUUUGAAAUUAAUUUAAGAAUUAUAUACAUACUUACUUGAAAACAAUCCUACCAAUUAUUUCUGAAUAAACAUACACUGGAUUUGACUGCACACCUGUAAUCUUAAAUGUGUUUGUUUUUUUGUAAAUGUGAAUAGGACUGAAUUGUCCAUGUCAUAAAUAUAUGUAUAUCAGAGUUAAAUAAAUAGUUCGAAGACAUGUACUAGUAAGCAUUAAUAAGUAGUUCAACACAGAAUUUUAUUAUAUAUGAUGCUCCAGAAACUUUUAAUAAAAUACAAAUGCUAGUAAACAUGCCAUACUUUUCUAAUUGUCAGUGACUUUUCAAGAUUGCCAAAACACAGUUAAGUAAUAAAUUCUUGAUACUGCUCAUUGCUAAAAGAGUUGUAUCAUGUCUACUAACAUUCACCACUUGUUUCAUGAAUAGAUGAUAGGUAUUAUUUUUGUUUUUUAAAUUAUUCAUUACUUAGAAGCCAGCUUGAUUAAGCACUUUAGUGAACUCCAGUUUCUUCACUACUAUUUUGUCCUAAUAAAAGAAUUGCCCAGCUAAGGAUGUUGAAUAUUUUCUUAUAGGUUAAGGCAAGUCUCUCUUUAAGAAUGCUUCACAAGGUUAUGAGAAUAAAUGACACCAGAUAUUGCAAGCUUAGUUAUCUUGUAAAAAUGAAUCUGGAGGAAAAUCCAGGGGAAAAAUUAUUCUGCUAGGUGACAACAAUACUUUAUUGAUCAUGCUCAUGACAAUACUGUAAUAUAAAACCUUUGAAUAAAACCAUCCAUAGCAAAAUAACUAAACACAAAAACUCAACUCGUAUGUUAUCAUCCUUUACAACUUACCCCAAUAAAAUACACAUAUGCAGCUCUAAUUGCACUGCUUUAUUCAACAAGGUCAUUUUAUAUGUAAUAUUUGUAUUCUGACCACACAUAAAAUAUGUUGUUCUAAGAUAUGGUUCCCUGUGAGCUGUUCGCCUUAUAUAUGGUUCAGGAUAAUGAUCUUCUUCUAUGCUAUACAAUUGGUACUCAAAUAAUAUAUGUGGUAUAUCUUCAAUCUCUGGUAUACCUCAAAUAAAUAUAUGUUCAUGAUAGGGGACUUGAUUAAACCUUUCAUAUUUACCAUUAUAUCUAGCUGUAAAAAUCUCACAUGGGUAAACAUCCUCCUAAGAUACUUGGUCAUUUGGUAAUCGAAUAUUUUUCCAUUUGAAAAUUAUAUUUGUAGUGGUUCAUCCAUCUCAGCAGCCUUACUGAGAGUAGCUAUAUCUCUUUGAGUUUCUAUAUCAGAGAUUCCUUGUGCAACAAUUUUCUUAACUGGGAAUCUAUGAAUUUCCACAGAGAAAUAAUUUUCUACCAAUAAAAGUAGCCCCCUCCAAAUUUCUUAUUCAUACAAGCCCAAAGGCCAUUCCCAUUUCUCAAAGGAAAUUAAAUGUUACACAGACAUCAUAAUCUACAUUCUUGAAAAUAAGAAUGAUCAAACUUUCAAAACUUUAAUGACUGCGUUUUUGGAUCUCAAAAUUUAAUCAAAGUAUGUAUGCCAUGCUCCAGUAAUAAAAUGUCUACCUUUUUUAAAAAAAAAUAAUUAUGUAGAAUUAUACAUAAUUUAUAAGAUUGAUGAUGAUCACAGAUGAAUUCUGUAAAUACCUGAAACAAGCAUACCAUUUCCCAUUUUGCCAGUACUUGAAAGCAAAUGAUGAAAACUGCAUUUAGUAAAUGUUUAUAUCUACCAGUGUAUGUUGAUGUCUUACAAUUUUUGGAUACUCUUCAAAUAAUCUGGGACAGAGAUGUCCAUAAAAUAAAGUGGUUUUGCAGAAAACCAAAGUUUAGAGUCACCCAACUGACUGCUUCUAAACACAAAAGAAAGUACUUAUUUGCAAAACACAUUAUCAAUUAAUGCAAUUCAAUGCUAUAGCAAUCUCAGACAAAUUAAAUGAAGGAUAUUUCUAUACAUAUCAUGAUAGCAAGAUGAAAUUCUUGGGGGAAGCUCCCUUCCGGUGGAACAGCUUGCCCCCCAAGGCAAAAAUAGCCUCUACUCUUCUGGCAUUUUGGAAGCCGGAACUUAAUUAUAACUUUUGCCAUAAUUAUAUAUUGUAUUUCUGUUUCUGUAUGCCAUUGUUAUAUUACAUUAGCUGAAGUAAUUGCUUUUGUACAACACUUAGGGCUCUCUUGAGUGUUGCUUAUACAUUCAUAAAUAAAUAAAAUUCCAUAUUCAGAGAAAAA